UACGUAGGGUGCAAGCGUUAAUCGGAAUUACUGGGCGUAAAGCGUGCGCAGGCGGUUUUGUAAGACUGUCGUGAAAUCCCCGGGCUUAACCUGGGAAUUGCGAUGGUGACUGCAAGGCUAGAGUGUGGCAGAGGGGGGUGGAAUUCCACGUGUAGCAGUGAAAUGCGUAGAGAUGUGGAGGAACACCGAUGGCGAAGGCAGCCCCCUGGGUUAACACUGACGCUCAGGCACGAAAGCGUGGGGAGCAAACAGG
rnacentral:rRNA from 1 species